rnacentral:rRNA from 1 species
CUUUAGGUGGCGACCGGCGCACGGGUGCGUAACGCGUAUGUAACCUACCUAUAACAGGGGCAUAACACUGAGAAAUUGGUACUAAUUCCCCAUAAUAUUCGGAGAGGCAUCUCUCCGGGUUGAAAACUCCGGUGGUUAUAGAUGGACAUGCGUUGUAUUAGCUAGUUGGUGAGGUAACGGCUCACCAAGGCAACGAUACAUAGGGGGACUGAGAGGUUAACCCCCCACACUGGUACUGAGACACGGACCAGACUCCUACGGGAGGCAGCAUG